GAGCAGUGACGAGGUUUGUGCCAGGUGUGAUAGAUGGGUCUAUCACUAUCCUCUGAUACUUCAGAAGAAAGAUGGCACAUCAGAGCUC